rnacentral:tRNA from 2 species
AGAGACUUAGGCUAACACAUAGACCAAAGGCCUUCAAAGCCUUAAGUGGGGGUGAAAAUCCCCCAGUCCCUG